rnacentral:tRNA from 1 species
GGGCUGGCUCAAUGGUUAGAGCGUAAGUCUCGUAACCGAAAUGUCGCGGGAUCGAAUCCCGCAGUAGGCUG